ACGAAGGAGAGCAUGCAUUGGUCAAUUCAGCACCUCAUGGAGUCUACAGGAAUAAUGGGGAACAAACCUAAGGAGUAGGUUUACCAAGUGUUUUGCAAAUAGCUCAUUUAAGCCUUAAAAAUGGGUUAUGUGGCAAAGUAACUUGCCGAUCAAGUUUGGAGCUGAGAUUAGGUACACUUGAACUUCAACGUAAAGUAAGUGACCUUCCAGAAGCUCAGAAGAAAAAGAGUAGAUUAAGAGUAUUUACCCACAUUCAUGAAUUUCGGGUUUAAAUUGGUGACAAGUGUGUGAACAUGUGUCAAGUGCUCCCAUCCCUCCCUUUGGCUAUAAAUAGAACCCUUAGGAUGUGUUUUUGAAGUUUAGAAACCCCUGAUCUUUCUCUCUCAGUCGAUCUUAUGGUUUGUUCUAGAGAAAGAAAAUGGCUUAAAACCGAUAAAAUUUUUGAGUGUGUGAGGUGAGUGUGAAAGGCUUUUGCGUGGCUUGAUCCUUGCUCUAGGAUCAGUUGUGAGUGCUAGGAGUGGUGGUAAGACCUUAGUUGACCGUUUGUAACCUUAGGGGAUUGGGCGUUUGCGGUGUGCGGAGGACGAGGCCAGGCGUAGAUUUCCGUUGUUGUUUGCAAGGCGCAAGAUGUUGAUGUUUUCACUCGUUUUGUUUUUCAUGGGUACCCGUUGACUCGUUUGUUUUAAUUUUCUGCUGCGUUUAUCUUUAAGGACUUUAGUCGAGUUCCCGACUUUGUAAAAUAAAUAAAAUUAUGUUUGUUUAAUAAAAUCCCCGUGGAACGCUGAUAUUUGAGUUUAGUCCGAACUUAACACAACUCUUGACCGAGGUACGGGUUGGCAAGCCUUAGGCCGAGGUUGAGAGGGACGGUACAGUGGUCGGACUGGUCGAGACUUUGAAUUUGUUUUGAAGUCUUAACUGGUACGACUUUGGUACUGUCAACCCUUGUAACGCUUCCGGGACGUUCCGGGUUGGUCCGGCCUAGGACGGUCCGGGGGUGUUACAAAUGGUGGUAUCAAAGCAAUGGUUGAGAUACCAUUACUUUCGUUUGCGGGUUUUAAAAUGUUUUAUCGAGUCAAAAGGAGUCGCAAACAACAUCAUUAGGGAACUGGCAUGUCCUCUGCUUAGGAUUAGGAUUAGGUAUGUUAGAUCAGUUUUUGAGAAUUUAGGACCUUACCCUUUUACCUUGUGUUGUAGUUUCUGGUGCAGGCAGUCGACAGGUUGGGAGUGGAUCGAGGAUGAGGAAUGUGGUACGGUUACGGAGGGUUGGACAAGUGUCUGGAGCAGCCGGUUAUGAUGGAUCAAGUGAGUCAAGCUCAUCCAGCGAGUCAGCGUCUGAUUCUAACUUUGAAGAUGAGAAUGUGGUCGAGAGCACCGAGAGUUCACAUGAGACUGGGUCAUCUGAAUUUGAAGAAGCUGAAGUACUUGAAGAAGUUGAAGAAGAAUCUGAUCACCUGGAAGGCAUGAACUUUUUCGCAGGAAUGGGAGCAAUUCCGCAAGCAUCCGACUCAUUCAACUACCAGUAUGGUUAUGGCAAUGAGUAUUGGGAAGCAAUGGACAUCAGCUCGUCUGACGUGGAGAUCAUUAAACCACCAGCGCCAGAAGUUAUUGAGAUCUCAUCAGACAGCACAGUUGCCGUCAACAUCAUUGACAUCAGUUCUCGUGAAAGCAGUCCGUGGAUUUCGAUGCCAGCUUGGAGUCCAGCAUUUUCACUUGGAGGAUCUCUUGAUUAGAGUUUGGAGUGCAUCGGACAAUCUUUUGAUCAAUACUAUGAGUAUCACUACUCACCAAUGCCAAUGGAGUCACCGCCAGCAAAUCCUAAAGUCGGAACUGGAGCAAGGGAAGUAGACAUGGAAGUUCAACCAGAGAUCGUAAGAGAUGUUCAGAUGAUGGAGAGUACUCAUAAUGGAAGGACCAGACCAAAUGGAGCUCUAGGUGGACAAGUGGAAAAAGGAAGUACCAAUAGAAGACCAGCAUCAAAUGUUCAAGACUCUCGCAACAUUCCAACCGAAGAAGAAUGCAAUGUGUGUGGAGCGGAUGAUCGUCAUACUCGGGCUUGUACAAGGAUUAGGAGUCAGCCAGACUUGAGCGCAUAUCUGAUUUGCAGCUCAUGUGAUACGUGUGGACACUUCAUCGCAGAUUGUCCAAUGACCAACGUGACCAGAGCCGUACCCAUCUCCGUUGUUCCUCCUACCAGCCCUGCUGGAUCAGCCUCAUCUACAACAGGAGGAUCAAACCUUAGAGACCUUGACCUUACUAGGAGUCCUGAUUGGGGUUCUCGUGGCGGCUAAGGUAAGUGGGCGCUGAUCCUUUCUCUUGGGUGUUGUAGUAGUAGUUGUUGCUUUGCUUUGCUUUGCUUGCUUGUUUUGCUUUGUGUUGUAGAGCGUUGCGUGUGCAACCUUGUUGUGUUGUGGACGGUGUGUCCUUGUAGCAAGUGCGGUUAAUGAGUAACCCUUGCUAGGUUGUGGUAGUUAGGUUUAGUUUCUUUUAGAAGCCUUGUUAGUUUAGGAUAGAGUAAACCCUAGGAUUUAGGAACCGAUCCCUGUUUAUAGCCAUAAGUUGAGAUGUGUUGUGAGCGUUGAUGGUGUCGGAAGGACAUGAGCCUUGACAUAUUGUUACCAAAAGAUUCGUGCAUGUGUGGGGAAGAUCUGGAAUCAGAGGCAACCGUGGUAUAGAUCAGCAACGAGUGUGCAACGGUUCAGAGUCGUCAAUGUGAAGGUUCAGAGUCGUCAGCGUAUGUUCAAGAGUCGUCGAGCAGUGUGGGGAUUCAAGAGGAGCGAUGGUGUGAUCUUUCUCCCAAGAAGGAUUUUCGUGCAAUCCGUGCAUGUUCAUGUGUGCAAGACCAGAGCAAUCAGUGAUCGAGCUAGUGAAGAAGCAACGAAGGCAGUAACUGAAGCGUGAAGACUAGAGUGUAUGAUGUUUGAAAUGGUGAUGUCAUGAGGAGAUGAAGUUAAUAAAAAGCCCAGAAGCCGAAGAAUCAGAGAAGAGAUGUCAAGAGAAAAACCAAACCAAGAAGAUGUCGUGGUGAAGCCCAAACAGUGUAAAGCCAAGAAGAAAGAUUGUGAUGAGAGUAGAAGAUGAAGCCUAGUCAAGUCUAAGACCAGAAGAAGACGAGAAGAGUUGAAGGAGAAAGCCCAGACGAAGAAGAGACGGAAUGUUGAAGAUCAAGAUGGAGUUGUUUCGUAAGGAGGGGAGACAAGGGUAAAGCAGUUGAGUUGAUCGUACCGCAACAGGCAGUCAUGAUAUGAGUAAAUGGUGGUAGAAGAAUUUAUUUAUAUCAAAUGGUGGUAGAAGAUUUUCGAAUCAAAUGGUGGAAUCAGAUGGUGGCAUCAGGUCAAAUGGUAGCGGAGUUUAGACCUACAUGGAGGAGUAUCAAACAGUAGCAGCCGGAUUACAAAGGAAGAAGAAGAUAAUGAGGGCAGAUAGCGGCAUCAAAGACAAAAAGUCAAGGAGCAGAUCGAGGAAGCUGAAGCAGUAAAGAAAUGGUGAUAUCAAGGAGAGUCAAAGCAAAAGAAGAAGAUUAUCAAUAAUCAAAGUAGAAUCGAAGAAGCUAGAAGACGAUGAAGAGUUGAAGUAGCCAACAAAAGGUGGUAGCAGAAAGUUCGGCGUAACUUGUGAAUUCGGGGACGAAUUCAUUUUAAGGAGGGGAGAAUGUAAUAACCCUGACCUUAGAGGACAAGUCAACGCAAAGUCAACGACGUGGAAUCAUCCAGCAACCAAAGUGGAAAGGUGUAUGAAGAUGUUUAUGGAGGUUCGAUCGAGGAGUUUUGAAGAACGAUCGUGCAUAAGUAAAAAUGGUUCGAGGAGUUAGAAACUAAGCUACGGAAUGGUGAUGGUCGAACAUGGAGGAUUUCCAAAGUCAGCAACUCAAGUAAGACUUAAUCUCAAUCAUCAAGUUGAGAUAGGAGAAGACAUUUGGUCGAGUCAGAAUCAAGUUUGUUCGAGAGCGUAAGGAAGCAGUCGAAAAGCAGUACCGGAGAUAGUCUACAUCAGAGGUUCGGUAGCAGCAUGAAGACAAAGGUGAUCAACAUAAAUCAAGGAGUUAAGGAGUCAACCUAGAAACGUUAUUUAAGGUAUUUGAAGACAUAUUAGAGAGUCUAGCCAACACAUAACCAAGAUGAUCCGGAGAAAAGCAGUUUUGGUCGAUAUGGUCAAAAUGAGCUGGAGGAGAGCUAAGGAAGCCAAAUGAAGAUGUGCAAAGAUGAGAGAGGAGUUCAAAGGGAUGUUUUACACAUUUCCUCAGGUUUUGAAAGUGGUCAACUCAGAAGUGAAAGUCAACCAAAGUCAAAGGAGAGAGAAAGUGCCUUAUUGGUCCAUUUUCCACUUCCGAGCAACCAAUAGGAGCAUGCCACGUGUAGGAGACAAAAUUCCUUCAAACCUGGACAAGGUAUGGAAUAAAUCAAGGGAUUUUUGUGUGAAGAAAUCAUGGGAAAAAGACAUCUAGAGAGCAAGGAAUCAUGAAGACAAAUUUUAUACCCGAAAUGGGCUAUAAAUGGCAAAGAAGACAUGGACUGGAGAAAUGGGUUUCUACCUCAAAACCUCGACAUCUAAGGUUCAUUUAGGACCCAAAUGAAGUAAUGGAGCAGGCUGGAGCAAUCAUUUGAAGCCUGGAGUAAGUGGAGCAGUCCAUUAACCAAAAGUGGUAAAAAAGCCCUUCAUGAAGAAAAAUUAUUUGGAGUGGAAUCACGUCAGGCACGAAGGAGAACAUGCAUUGAUCAAUUCAAUACCUCAUGGAGUCUACAGGAAUAAUGGGGAACAAACCUAUGGAGUAGGUUUACCAUGUGUUUUGCAAAUAGCUCAUUUAAGCCUUAAAAAUGGGUUAUGUGGCAAAGUAACUUGCCGAUCAAGUUUUGUGCUGAGAUUCGGUACACUUGAACGUCAAGGUAAAGUAAGUGACCUUCCAGAAGCUCAGAAGAAAAAGAGUAGAUUAAGAGUGUUUAACCCACAUGCAUGAAUUUCGGGUUUAAAUUGGUGACAAGUGUGUGAACAUGUGUCAAGUGCUCCCAUCCCUCCCUUUGGCUAUAAAUAGAACCCUUAGGAUGUGUUUUUGAAGUUUAGAAACCCCUGAGCUUUCUCUCUCAGUCGAUCUUAUGGUUUGUUCUAGAGAGAGAAUAUGGCUUAAAACCGAUAAAUUUUUUGAGUGUGUGAGGUGAGUGUGGAAGGCUUUUGCGUGGCUUGAUCCUUGCUCUAGGAUCAGUUGUGGAGUGCUAGGAGUGGUGGUAAGACCUUAGUUGACCGUUUGUAACCUUAGGGGAUUGGGCGUUUGCGGGGUGUGGAGGAUGAGGCCAGUCGUAGAUUUCCGUUGUUGUUUGCAAGGCGCAAGAUGUUGAUGUUUUCACUCGUUUUGUUUUUCAUGGGUACCCGUUGACUCGUUUGUUUUAUUUUCUGCUGCGUUUAUCUUUAAG